GCAAACUUGGUCAUUUAGAGGAAGUAAAAGUCGUAACAAGGUUUCCGUAGGUAAGUAGAAACUUUACAUCUUAUACCCCUUAUAGUCCAUAAUAUACUGACUUUUUUCUUUUAGGUGAACCUGCGGAAGGAUCAUUAAUAGAGUGGUAAACCUCCCGUAAAAAAGGGGGGGACCUCCCGUCCUUUGCAGGCUCUUUUUUAAAGGGCUUUUUAUGACUUUCUGCUGCUUCGGUGGGGUUAUCCUACCGGAACAACUUCAAAACUCUGAUCAAAAAAAUUGUUCUGUCCGAGAUUCUUUUAUAAUGAAAAAAAAAAACUUUCAACAACGGAUCUCUUGGUUCUGGCAUCGAUGAAGAACGCAGC
rnacentral:misc_RNA from 1 species